rnacentral:misc_RNA from 1 species
UCCGGUUUGUCACCGGCGGUCUCCUUAGAGUGCCCAACUUAAUGCUGGCAGCUAAGGACAAGGGUUGCGCUCGUUGCGGGACUUAACCCAACAUCUCACGACACGAGCUGACGACAGCCAUGCAGCACCUGUCUCCAGGUUCCUUACGGCACCCCCAAAUCUCUUCGGGGUUCCUAGCAUGUCAAGGGUAGGUAAGGUUUUUCGCGUUGCAUCGAAUUAAUCCACAUAAUCCACCGCUUGUGCGGGUCCCCGUCAAUUCCUUUGAGUUUUAGCCUUGCGGCCGUACUCCCCAGGCGGGGUGCUUAAUGCGUUAGCUUCGGCACGGGGGGAGUCGACACCCCCCACACCUAGCACCCAUCGUUUACGGCGUGGACUAC